UGGGGGAUCGUCUAACGGUAGGACUACGGCCUCUGACGCCGUCAAUCAAGGUUCGAAUCCUUGUCCCCCAGCCA
rnacentral:tRNA from 1 species